rnacentral:rRNA from 1 species
UGGGGAAUUUUGCACAAUGGGGGAAACCCUGAUGCAGCGACGCCGCGUGAUUUAGAAGGCCUUCGGGUUGUAAAAAUCUUUUCUAUGGGAAGAAAAUGACAGUACCAUAGGAAUAAGGACCGGCUAAUUACGUGCCAGCAGCCGCGGGAAUACGUAAGGUCCGAGCGUUGUCCGGAAUCAUUGGGCGUAAAGGGUACGUAGGCGGGUAAGCAAGUUAGAAGUGAAAUCCUAUAGCUCAACUAUGGUAAGCUUUUAAAACUGCUCAUCUUGAGGUAUGGAAGGGAAAGUGGAAUUCCUAGUGUAGCGGUGAAAUGCGCAGAUAUUAGGGGGAAUACCGGUGGCGAAGGCGACUUUCUGGCCAUAACCUGACGCUGAGGUACGAAAGCGUGGGUAGCAAACAGG